CGCGCCCCAACCGGGGUGGACGACGCGCCACGACGUGCCGUUGUCCGCCCCCGAGAGAGACACCGCUCCCUCCCCGUCCAGUGGGAGGGGGCAAAACUGGACUCGAUGCUCCAGACGUGGCCUCGGCGGUUCCGAAUCGCCUCCCUCGGUCUGCUGGCAGCGCUCCGACUGCUGCAGGCCAGGAUGCUGUUAGCCCUCUUUCCGAGGAGCGCACGCGGUCGGUGCUUCGUGACCAGGAGCAGCAAACAGAUGGGUGAAUUGUAGAAGAGGAGCUGAAUAGGUGAACAUCAAGACCGUUCAAAAGAAGAGCGGGACAUUGAGGCCUGUGGGAUGAAGAGUUUAGAAGGCGUAAGGUAGAGUUUAAUGAGCCAUGAAGUCAGUGGAUUCCCUCAGCACUGCCUGAUUAGCAAUGCUGCUGCCAUUGCCAAGCAAGCGAUUUUUAACUUUGGGCGGGCCAGGAAUCCAAGGAGGUGCAAAUGCCCUGAUGCACCUCCCACCCCCCCCCCCCCCCACCC